rnacentral:rRNA from 1 species
UACGUAGGUGACCAGCGUUGUCCGGAUUUACUGGGCGUAAAGAGCGCGCAGGCGGUCGUUCAAGUCGAGUGUGAAAGCCCCCGGCUCAACUGGGGAGGGUCAUUCGAUACUGAUCGACUCGAAGGCAGGAGAGGGAAGCGGAAUUCCCGGUGUAGUGGUGAAAUGCGUAGAUAUCGGGAGGAACACCAGUGGCGAAGGCGGCCUCCUGGCCUGUUCUUGACGCUGAGGCGCGAAAGCUAGGGGAGCGAACGGG